AGAAAAAGUUCUACAUGGGCUCAGCAGCUGUGCUUGGGACUACACUUAGAGAUCAAGUUAAAGAAUAAUCCUUGGUAAAUCUUGGCUGCGGGUGACUGAUGGAAGUUUCAGAGGCUGGACUGGAAGAUGAAACUGGGGCAAGAUGUUACACAGCAUGGCCUCAGGAACCUGAGCUCCAGCAACCUGCGGGUCCCAAUGGAGGCGAAGUCAAGGAGCGUCUCAGAGAGUGGUUGAUGUGUGAAGUCUCUGUCUGCCCAUCUGAAUAACAAGAGAUGGGGCUUGUGAUUUUCCUCCACGGCACCCCUACCUGAGGGCCUCCAGGAGGAAUGACAUCUCAAACAGAAACCUGCAUAACAUCAGCCCAAACCAAGGACCCAUUUUAUCAUCAAAGAGGUGUGCCAUGAAUGCAUGACUGUGGGAUCCACUGCUUUGACCACAUAUGGAUGACUUGGAAGCUGCCAGCCUACAUGAACAAUGGAAAG
rnacentral:lncRNA from 10 species